rnacentral:rRNA from 1 species
GACGAACGCUGGCGGCGUGCUUAACACAUGCAAGUCGAGCGGAAAGGCCACUUCGGUGGUACUCGAGCGGCGAACGGGUGAGUAACACGUGAGUAAUCUGCCCCUGGCUUUGGGAUAGCCACCGGAAACGGUGAUUAAUACCGGAUACGACCACUUCUCGCAUGGGAUGGUGGUGGAAAGUUUUUUCGGCCAGGGAUGUGCUCGCGGCCUAUCAGCUUGAUGGUGAGGUAAUGGCUCACCAUGGCUUCGACGGGUGGCCGGCCUGAGGGGGUGACCGGUGACAACUGGACUGAGACACGGCCCAGACUACUACGGGAGGCAGCAGUGGGGAAUAUUGGACAAUGGGCGGAAGCCUGAUCCAGCGACGCCGCGUGAGGGAUGACGGCCUUCGGGUUGUAAACCUCUUUCAGCAGGGACGAAGCGCAAGUGACGGUACCUGCAGAAGAAGCACCGGCCAACUACGUGCCAGCCGCCGCCGUAA